AGUGACGUGAGACAAUGAUGUCAUCUGCAUCUUGGGGUAUUUCUGGAGGAUGAAUGCCUUGUAGAGAGACUCAAGCAGGUGGGAAAUAACUUAUGGCUUCCUAGAAGAGUGUCCAUUCACUAGGUUCAGAGAUUAUGUAAGGAAUGGAUUAAGUGCACAAACCCUCCUUGGUUACAAGACAAGCACCAGGGAGGAGGAGAAGAUUAACCUGGAAGCCAACCCAGAGGUAGAUUGUCAUUUGACAGCCAUCAAGAUAAGAACAUUAUCGUGAACAGAUUGCAUUAGGUAAAAUUACCCAUUGACGCAAGUGAAGUCAUUACAAAAUGGAUUAAUUCCUGUACUGGAUAGGGAUACUGCCACAACCAAUUAGAAAGCACUGAAUUUGAAGCUCAAGGGUAGGGGAGAGGAAGCAAAGGAGGAAAAAGACAUUCAAUUGCACAGCAGUUUUCAAGUCAAAGAGGCACAAUUUCCCUGCUAACACUGGUGAUAGUUUGCUCAUACCAGGAGUGGUUUUCAACUAACUUCAGGCAAAAUUAGUAUCAGAACUGCUGAGAGAUACACUGAUCUCAAAAAGCAGUGCCUCAGAGUAGCUGAAGAAUGUCUGAGGAGGAUGCCG